AUUGAACGCUAGCGGGAUGCUUUACACAUGCAAGUCGAACGAGUGGCGGACGGGUGAGUAAUAUAUCGGCACGUGCCCAGUAGCGGGGGAUAACUACUCGAACGAUUGGCUAAUACCGCAUACUAUUCUAGCGGCCGAUAUGGAAUUAGCUAGUUGGUGGGGUAAAGGCUCACCAAGGCAACGAUCCGUAGCUGGUUUGAGAGGCCGACCAGCCACACGGGGACUGAGACACGGCCCAGACUCCGACGGGAGGCAGCAGUGGGGAAUUUUGGACAAUGGGGGAAACCCUGAUCCAGCAAUCCCGCGUGUAUGAGAAGGCCUGCGGGUUGUAAAGUACUGUUGGCAGAGAAGCGGUAUCUGCAGAAUAAGCACCGGCUAACUACGUGCCAGCAGCCGCGGUAAUAC
rnacentral:rRNA from 1 species